rnacentral:rRNA from 1 species
ACGCUGGCGGCGUGCUUAACACAUGCAAGUCGAACGAACCUUCGGGUUAGUGGCGGACGGGUGAGUAACGCGUGGGAAUCUGCCCUCAGGAGGGGGAUAACGGUUGGAAACGACCGCUAAUACCCCAUAUGCCGAGAGGUGAAAUGAAUUUCGCCUGAGGAUGAGCCCGCGUCUGAUUAGCUUGUUGGUGAGGUAAUGGCUCACCAAGGCAUCGAUCAGUAGCUGGUCUGAGAGGAUGAUCAGCCACACUGGGACUGAGACACGGCCCAGACUCCUACGGGAGGCAGCAGUGGGGAAUUUUCCGCAAUGGGCGAAAGCCUGACGGAGCAACGCCGCGUGAGGGACGAAGGCCUCUGGGCUGUAAACCUCUUUUCUCAAGGAAGAAGAUAUGACGGUACUUGAGGAAUAAGCCACGGCUAAUUCCGUGCCAGCAGCCGCGGUAAUACGGGAGUGGCAAGCGUUAUCCGGAAUUAUUGGGCGUAAAGCGUCCGCAGGCGGCCUUUCAAGUCUGCUGUUAAAACGUGGAGCUUAACUCCAUCAUGGCAGUGGAAACUGAUUGGCUUGAGUAUGGUAGGGGCAGAGGGAAUUCCCGGUGUAGCGGUGAAAUGCGUAGAUAUCGGGAAGAACACCAGUGGCGAAGGCGCUCUGCUGGGCCAUUACUGACGCUCAUGGACGAAAGCCAGGGGAGCGAAAGGGAUUAGAUACCCCUGUAGUCCUGGCCGUAAACGAUGAACACUAGGUGUCGGGGGAAUCGACCCCUUCGGUGUCGUAGCUAACGCGUUAAGUGUUCCGCCU